CAAGCAAGAUUGUAAGAUUGUCUAUGAGUUACUGAUUGUUGAAGCCAAUUAUGGGGAGUUCAUUAUACUAUGAGGAGUUUAUUACUAUUCUCUCUGUUUUGCAUAUGUUUGGAAUUUUUAUAACAGAGAAAGAAGAAAGAUAGAGAGAGGAAGAGAGAGAGAGAGAAGGGAGGUAGGGAAUCCUGGCGACAAGUGGUGGAUGGAAUCGUAGACUGAUGAGCACACAGGAUGAGCUAGGAAGAGUCUCCAUUCUGGCAAGAAGGUUCAGCUCAGAAAAGGAAUCGGCAUUAACCAGGCCAAGAUGCGAGGCAGAAGUAUGGAGGAGGCCCGUGUAGAUGCAGAGAGAAUGUGCCGGCUGUAGCUGUGGAAACCACUGGGGAAGAGCAAGGACCUGACCCCCAGCGCUGAGUGGGUUGGGUGCAGGAGCUCAGGGGAUUCUGACCUGCCUGUCUGGACAGUUGAGCAGGCCCUGCUCUGCCCCUGUGGCUCCUGCAGACAGCAUUGGUUCCUCUCUUCCUGGGUUACAAGCGCCUGCCUGGCCCUCCGCUUGGAUACUGAUGUUCUCCUAGCUCUUGGCUGUCUCUCUGGCGUCUCACCAGCUGGGCUUCUCUGCCUAAUUCUGAAUGUUGGUGUCUCUGUAGCUCCUUGCUCUGAACCAACAAUCUUCUGAGAAUUGCAGCCCAGCAGGCGUCUCCAGUUAUUCUUUUCAAAACAUUAACUGUACACAUCUAUGUUUGUGAUACUAAUUCCUCUAACUUUUAACUACUAAAGUGAUGGAGAAACAAAUAAAAGAAGACUUUGCACAGAUAGUGCCCCCGACCCCACGUGAACAUAGCUGUCAUUCCAACUACGGAUUGGGGUGGCCCAGGGGACAGGGCUGCUUGGUAAGGCCUGGAUGUGGCAAGCAAAGCCACACCUUCCAUUCUCUCUGCACAAAUAAGACAAGAAAACUCAUUUGUGCUCAUGGGAGCCAGCCCCCUCCUCCAUGAUACCCCAGACAUUAUCCAGAUGGCCAGUUUCCAGAGCAUUUAUUAAACAACCAUUUACGGACAGCCCACCAUGAGGCAGCCACUGAGUGCUGAAAUUGAAUUUAUUUUCUGGAUUAAGUCUCAGGAAAGAUUGGAAAGCCUUGUCAGUGAGGCCUCGAGGUAGAAUUGCUAUGCCUUUGCAGAAUAAAAUGUGUGCUGUUUUGUGUACUGCUAUUUAUUGUUCCUCUUGCUUCCUUGGAGGGAAAAAUAAGAUCUCAGUCCUGUGGGGUGCCGCCAAGCAAGGCAGCUGCAAGGGUUUAGAGAUCAGCUUGAAGGGGCAAGAGUUACCUCUUUUUUCUGAGGCCAUCUUAAUUCACUGCCGUGGUUCAUUUAAAGUCGUAUUUUAGGGGAAAGGAGAGAGGGUGUUUUUCUGUUGUUGUUUUUAAAGAUAAAGUAAGGGAUUGAUUAGAAGACUUUUUCUUCUGUAGUAGAAUCUACAGAUCAGCCCCUAGUACGCAUGCUCCCUUCUUUUUGCCAACAGAACCCAGAUUUCAGCUCUGGCCUCUCAUCUAGCAUGAGUUUCCCAGGCCCCCCGGCAGCUGGCUAUGGGGCCAAGUUCUUUCCCAGGGGAUUUAAGGAUAAAUUAUGUCCUGAACUUAUGGGUCUUACCCCUCUAAUGUUUCAGUGUUGACACCUCUAUAUCACCCAGACACAGUGCCAGGAACCUGCAGGGACUAUGAAGACAAGGGCAAUGAUCUAGAGAAGCAGUCUGUGACCCUUGAUGACCUUAUGAGCUGGGCCACCGGCCCACCAUGAACCAGCUGCCUCUCUCUGGAUGGCCACAUAAGAGAAAAGUUAACCCACUGAAUUUUGAAUGUUUCUUUGUUACAGCAGCUUAGCCUCUACCCUAACUAAUACAUUCUUUACUACAGUAAAAUUGUUAAAGUCCUAAAUUCUUUAAGUGUCUUUGUUACAAAUUAUCAGCCUUCCCCUUCCCUUCACCCCCAAACUCACCACUCUGUAAGUCUCCUCUGCUCUGGGCAGCACACUCGAGAAUCCUGUUACAGCUACUUGCAAAGUUUUUGCUCUUUUACAUCCUGGCUGCUAGAGAAGCUUUAUUUCCCUGCAACACCUUAAAAUGUACAUGUAAAACAGUAAAUGGCUUACUACUGAAAACACAGCUUACCCUUGAGAAGUUCCAUUUUUUCAUGCCUUGAUCUCUCUAGGUCGAAGAGUAUGUCUUGGUUAUAGAAAUUCACGUCAGAGCAGCGAAGUGGCUUCUGUUUAAAGCAGAAUGUUUUCAGGAGUGACGUGUCAACCUGGAGGAUCUUGGGAUCCACUCUUGCCCUUCCUGGCCCCACCUGCAGCUGUUCUGGUUACACCUUCAGGGGUGUGAGAGGAUUGUUACUUGAUGAGAAGCACCCCACCAAGAUGAGAGGUGGGGGGAUUGCAUAAAGACAUAUUUCCUUUCACGUUAAAAGAGAGAAAAUAAAAGAGCAAGGGAAAUCACAGUAAUAUAAUUUUUUAAAAUCCUUGUUAGGCAGCACUUCAGGCAGGAGAAAGGUGUUGAGAAAUCAAGUAAACAAUGACAGCACACCAGGACUCCCAAAAGGCUAGGUGUUGCUUGUGGAAGCCGCCUGAGAAACAGAAAGGACACACUCAGGAUAAAAAUGAAAUAAAAAGUGGAUCAUGGUGGUGAGAAGAAAGGAAAUUCCACCUCUGAUCCGCAUCUCACAAAUGCAUAAACUGCUUUAUUGUUUUGCUGAGAAGCUCACAAAAUGCAUAAACCACUUUACUGAAACAAAGACUAAUACCCUUGAUGGCUCCUGCCACCUCUGCCAGCCCUGCUCAGAGGGAUGAGAACCUUCCAUCUGCCCUUGGCCCAUCCAGACCCUCAACCAGUUUGGGUCAAGAUAGCCUGCAAAGUUCUGGGCUCCCAACUGGCCAGCCAGUGGAGUCUGGAAGCAAUUCUGCAGCCGUGACAUCUAAUGCAUAUGGGGUGAGUCUCACAUACACCCAUGUCCACUGAGCAGCAGCUUCCCCCAUGACCCUCGCCAAUCUGGCAAGUAGAAAAACAAUGGCUCUGGGCACGGGUUCAAAUCCCAGCUCUGCUACUUCCCAGUUGAAUGAUCUUGGACAAAUUACCUAACGGUUCUCUGUCUGUUUUCUCCCGUCAAUUCACAAGGCU
rnacentral:lncRNA from 1 species